rnacentral:rRNA from 1 species
GGUUAAGCGACUAAGCGUACACGGUGGAUGCCCUGGCAGUCAGAGGCGAUGAAGGGCGUGCUAAUCUGCGAUAAGCGCCGGUAAGGUGAUAUGAACCGUUAUAACCGGCGAUACCCGAAUGGGGAAACCCAGUGUGAUUCGUCACACUAUCAUUAACUGAAUCCAUAGGUUAAUGAGGCGAACCGGGGGAACUGAAACAUCUAAGUACCCCGAGGAAAAGAAAUCAACCGAGAUUCCCCCAGUAGCGGCGAGCGAACGGGGAGGAGCCCAGAGCCUGAAUCAGCAUGUGUGUUAGUGGAAGCGUCUGGAAAGGCGCGCGAUACAGGGUGACAGCCCCGUACACAAAAGCGCAUGUGCUGUGAGCUCGAUGAGUAGGGCGGGACACGUGGUAUCCUGUCUGAAUAUGGGGGGACCAUCCUCCAAGGCUAAAUACUCCUGACUGACCGAUAGUGAACCAGUACCGUGAGGGAAAGGCGAAAAGAACCCCGGCGAGGGGAGUGAAAAAGAACCUGAAACCGUGUACGUACAAGCAGUGGGAGCCCCACCACCAAAGCAUUCUCUGGUGUUGAAGGCCCUGCAAAGCAGCAUCGCGGUGGCGGAGCGUCGUUUGCGACGCCCAACACACAAAACAAGCGGUGAGUGCUUUGGGGUGGGGUGACUGCGUACCUUUUGUAUAAUGGGUCAGCGACUUAUAUUCUGUAGCAAGGUUAACCGAAUAGGGGAGCCGGAGGGAAACCGAGUCUUAAUUGGGCGUUAAGUUGCAGGGUAUAGACCCGAAACCCGGUGAUCUAGCCAUGGGCAGGUUGAAGGUUGGGUAACACUAACUGGAGGACCGAACCGACUAAUGUUGAAAAAUUAGCGGAUGACCUGUGGCUGGGGGUGAAAGGCCAAUCAAACCGGGAGAUAGCUGGUUCUCCCCGAAAGCUAUUUAGGUAGCGCCUCGUGAAUUCAUCUCCGGGGGUAGAGCACUGUUUCGGCUAGGGGGCCAUCCCGGCUUACCAACCCGAUGCAAACUGCGAAUACCGGAGAAUGUUAUCACGGGAGACACACGGCGGGUGCUAACGUCCGUCGUGAAGAGGGAAACAACCCAGACCGCCAGCUAAGGUCCCAAAGUCAUGGUUAAGUGGGAAACGAUGUGGGAAGGCCCAGACAGCCAGGAUGUUGGCUUAGAAGCAGCCAUCAUUUAAAAGAAAGCGUAAUAGCUCACUGGUCGAGUCGGCCUGCGCGGAAGAUGUAACGGGGCUAAACCAUGCACCGAAGCUGCGGCAGCGACACUCAGGUGUUGUUGGGUAGGGGAGCGUUCUGUAAGCCUGCGAAGGUGGCCUGUGAGGGUUGCUGGAGGUAUCAGAAGUGCGAAUGCUGACAUAAGUAACGAUAAAGCGGGUGAAAAGCCCGCUCGCCGGAAGACCAAGGGUUCCUGUCCAACGUUAAUCGGGGCAGGGUGAGUCGACCCCUAAGGCGAGGCCGAAAGGCGUAGUCGAUGGGAAACGGGUUAAUAUUCCCGUACUUGGUGUUACUGCGAAGGGGGGACGGAGAAGGCUAUGUUGGCCGGGCGACGGUUGUCCCGGUUUAAGCGUGUAGGUGUGUGUUCCAGGUAAAUCCGGUUCACUUUAACACUGAGGCGUGAUGACGAGGCACUACGGUGCUGAAGCAACAAAUGCCCUGCUUCCAGGAAAAGCCUCUAAGCAUCAGGUAACAUCAAAUCGUACCCCAAACCGACACAGGUGGUCAGGUAGAGAAUACCAAGGCGCUUGAGAGAACUCGGGUGAAGGAACUAGGCAAAAUGGUGCCGUAACUUCGGGAGAAGGCACGCUGACACGUAGGUGAAGUGAUUUACUCAUGGAGCUGAAGUCAGUCGAAGAUACCAGCUGGCUGCAACUGUUUAUUAAAAACACAGCACUGUGCAAACACGAAAGUGGACGUAUACGGUGUGACGCCUGCCCGGUGCCGGAAGGUUAAUUGAUGGGGUCAGCGCAAGCGAAGCUCCUGAUCGAAGCCCCGGUAAACGGCGGCCGUAACUAUAACGGUCCUAAGGUAGCGAAAUUCCUUGUCGGGUAAGUUCCGACCUGCACGAAUGGCGUAAUGAUGGCCAGGCUGUCUCCACCCGAGACUCAGUGAAAUUGAACUCGCUGUGAAGAUGCAGUGUACCCGCGGCAAGACGGAAAGACCCCGUGAACCUUUACUAUAGCUUGACACUGAACAUUGAGCCUUGAUGUGUAGGAUAGGUGGGAGGCUUUGAAGUGUGGACGCCAGUCUGCAUGGAGCCGACCUUGAAAUACCACCCUUUAAUGUUUGAUGUUCUAACGUGGACCCGUAAUCCGGGUUGCGGACAGUGUCUGGUGGGUAGUUUGACUGGGGCGGUCUCCUCCUAAAGAGUAACGGAGGAGCACGAAGGUUGGCUAAUCCUGGUCGGACAUCAGGAGGUUAGUGCAAUGGCAUAAGCCAGCUUGACUGCGAGCGUGACGGCGCGAGCAGGUGCGAAAGCAGGUCAUAGUGAUCCGGUGGUUCUGAAUGGAAGGGCCAUCGCUCAACGGAUAAAAGGUACUCCGGGGAUAACAGGCUGAUACCGCCCAAGAGUUCAUAUCGACGGCGGUGUUUGGCACCUCGAUGUCGGCUCAUCACAUCCUGGGGGCUGAAGUAGGUCCCAAGGGUAUGGCUGUUCGCCAUUUAAAGUGGUACGCGAGCUGGGUUUAGAACGUCGUGAGACAGUUCGGUCCCUAUCUGCCGUGGGCGCUGGAGAACUGAGGGGGGCUGCUCCUAGUACGAGAGGACCGGAGUGGACGCAUCACUGGUGUUCGGGUUGUCAUGCCAAUGGCACUGCCCGGUAGCUAAAUGCGGAAGAGAUAAGUGCUGAAAGCAUCUAAGCACGAAACUUGCCCCGAGAUGAGUUCUCCCUGAGACUUUAAGUCUCCUGAAGGAACGUUGAAGACGACGACGUUGAUAGGCCGGGUGUGUAAGCGCAGCGAUGCGUUGAGCUAACCGGUACUAAUGAACCGUGAGGCUUAACCUU